CAGUGGGGAAUAUUGCACAAUGGGCGCAAGCCUGAUGCAGCGACGCCGCGUGGGGGAUGACGGCCUUCGGGUUGUAAACCUCUUUCGACAGGGACGAAGCUUUGGUGACGGUACCUGUAUAAGAAGCACCGGCUAACUACGUGCCAGCAGCCGCGGUAAUACGUAGGGUGCGAGCGUUGUCCGGAAUUACUGGGCGUAAAGAGCUCGUAGGUGGUUUGUCGCGUCGUCUGUGAAAUUCCGGGGCUUAACUUCGGGCGUGCAGGCGAUACGGGCAUAACUUGAGUGCUGUAGGGGAGACUGGAAUUCCUGGUGUAGCGGUGGAAUGCGCAGAUAUCAGGAGGAACACCGAUGGCGAAGGCAGGUCUCUGGGCAGUAACUGACGCUGAGGAGCGAAAGCAUGGGGAGCGAACAGGAUUAGAUACCCUGGUAGUCCAUGCCGUAAACGGUGGGCGCUAGGUGUAGGGGUCUUCCACGACUUCUGUGCCGUAGCUAAC
rnacentral:rRNA from 1 species